UACGUAGGGGGCUGGCGUUGUCCGGAAUCAUUGGGCGUAAAGCGCGUGUAGGUGGUCCGGUAAGUCCGCUGUGAAAGUCGGGGGCUCAACCCUCGGAUGCCGGUGGAUACUGUCGGGCUUGAGUACGGAAGAGGCGAGUGGAAUUCCUGGUGUAGCGGUGAAAUGCGCAGAUAUCAGGAGGAACACCAAUUGCGAAGGCAGCUCGCUGGGACGUUACUGACGCUGAGACGCGAAAGCGUGGGGAGCAAACAGG
rnacentral:rRNA from 1 species